rnacentral:rRNA from 1 species
AUUGAACGCUGGCGGCAGGCUUAACACAUGCAAGUCGAGCGGAGCGAGGGUGCUUGCACCUUAGCUUAGCGGCGGACGGGUGAGUAAUGCUUAGGAAUCUGCCUAUUAGUGGGGGACAACAUUCCGAAAGGAAUGCUAAUACCGCAUACGCCCUACGGGGGAAAGCAGGGGAUCUUCGGACCUUGCGCUAAUAGAUGAGCCUAAGUCGGAUUAGCUAGUUGGUGGGGUAAAGGCCUACCAAGGCGACGAUCUGUAGCGGGUCUGAGAGGAUGGUCCGCAACACUGGGACUGAGACACGGCCCAGACUCCUACGGGAGGCAGCAGUGGGGAAUAUUGGACAAUGGGCGGAAGCCUGAUCCAGCCAUGCCGCGUGUGUGAAGAAGGCCUUUUGGUUGUAAAGCACUUUAAGCGAGGAGGAGGCUCUUAAGGUUAAUACCCUUGAUGAGUGGACGUUACUCGCAGAAUAAGCACCGGCUAACUCUGUGCCAGCCGCCGCCGUAA